rnacentral:rRNA from 1 species
UGGGGAAUUUUGGACAAUGGGGGAAACCCUGAUCCAGCCAUCCCGCGUGUGCGAUGAAGGCCUUCGGGUUGUAAAGCACUUUUGGCAGGAAAGAAACGUCAUGGGUUAAUACCCCGUGAAACUGACGGUACCUGCAGAAUAAGCACCGGCUAACUACGUGCCAGCAGCCGCGGUAAUACGUAGGGUGCAAGCGUUAAUCGGAAUUACUGGGCGUAAAGCGUGCGCAGGCGGUUCGGAAAGAAAGAUGUGAAAUCCCAGAGCUCAACUUUGGAACUGCAUUUUUAACUACCGGGCUAGAGUGUGUCAGAGGGAGGUGGAAUUCCGCGUGUAGCAGUGAAAUGAGUAGAUAUGCGGAGGAACACCGGUGGCGAAGGCAGCCUCCUGGGAUAACACUGACGCUCAUGCACGAAAGCGUGGGGAGCAAACAGG